GUUUGUUCAUAGGAAUCCAAAUCAACUUCUAUGUUUGGACCAAUCCUUAAAUCUUAUUACCAACUUCAGAGUUUGUAUGCCUUGGAUUGGGUGAACCCGAAUUUACCCGUUGACACUGCUCUGCGGUUUACAAAGUUUUUCAACACUAAAACCUGAAACUAUAUAUUAGCAGCAUUCCCUAAUAGGCUAAUAAAAUCUAUAAUAAUAAAACAGAUUUAUUUUUUCCCCUCUUCCUGCUGCCAUCUCAUCAUAUAGUAUAGGGCAUUUGUGACACAUCAGCAGUGUUGUUUCUAUGUACUUUUUCCUUUGCGAAAGUGAGUUUCGUUCGUGAACUUUAUUGGGCUAUGUUUUAAUAUACUUAAGUCUCUGAAAAAAAUCAACAAAACUAAGCCCAACUAAUACAUUUCAUCUAACCUAACGCCUCGCCUCUUUUCUUCUUCUAUCUUCGUAGCUGUUGAACGUUUUCUGACUUUUCCACUUCUUCUUCCAUUCCCAUUAACUUAAACCAUUAUUUCACUCAUCAAAACAAAAACAGCUUAACUCACAUCACCCUUCCACUUCCCUAUCCCACUCUAUAUAAGACGAUGUCGUCAUAUGAAGCCUUCACACUGCUCAAACCACCACCAAAAACCCACCUUAAGCUACAUUGGCGAACACAUAUUCUUUCAGUUCCACAGUUACAUGUGAAGAAUCUUAUAUUGCAAGAGAAGCGGCUGGUUCAUUUUCCCCAGAGCUCAGGUAUGGUGAUGAUCGUGAGGAAACAGUCGAUUCCGAGGAAGACAAUAACUACUGGUACUCUUUAACAGUUCAUACAAACGAUUUUUUUCCUCAUUAAUUGUUUUUCGUUGAUGGUUCUAUUUACCUAAAGUAUGAUGUGCUAUGAUGAUUUUAUUUUCUUAAUGAACUCUUGAAAAAAUCACUCUUUAUGCCUUCUUGCGAUGAUUAACUUAAAAGGAACUUCUCCUGGUGGCUUGGUUGAGGCAUGUUUCCCUUCAUGCAGGUCUCUGAACGUAUCCUUCUGAUUCAAAUUGUUGCAAGAUGCAACACCUAAAGCAUUCCGACAAUUGGGUACUGGUAAAAACUCUUUCUCUGACCUUUUUAUCAGUCUAAUCUUUAAAAUUGGAUAUUUUCAUUUGUUAGAAUUAUUUGAGACCUUUGUUAGACAUGUUCACUUUCCUUUGGCAGUUGAAGAGGCCAUGUUCUACUACAUUGCUGCUUUUUCCCCUAGCAUGUAUCACCAGACUCCAUACAGUAGGCAUAUGAACAUGCCGCUGCAAACACCAAGGUAAACGGAGGCUGAGCUAUGAUCCUUUACUACAACCAAGUUCAUUGAUACUGCUCACAUAUCUGGCAGGUGAUCACAAUUAACCUUCAUGUUCCAUUUAUCUGUGAGUUCUUCAUAGAGGUUCAGGAGAAGUACAUGUCGUUACCAAAUCCUGAUACUAUUAUAUGUUACAGUGUCCUAGAGUAAUCAUUGGAGAUGUAGAGAUAAGCAAGACUCUUGCUUGAACCAAGUACAUGGAGUAUGUUUUGGAAUGAGACUGAGGCAAGAAUCUGCAGGGUUCACGGCUGGGAGACAAUACAAGACGACUCUUGUGAUCACACAAGUUGCAGAUCAUGUGGUUUUUCGCCACCGAUGGAAAGGUGGAGAAGUACCCAGUCAUUCAUCUCCCAAGGAGAAGCGGUUUUAAUAGGCUAUGAUCUCAAAACUAGAACCUGUCAAAGAAGAUAACUUGGAGAUUAAAUCAGUGGGAGCAAUGGAGGAACGUGAUGUGAACCUUAAUUCUGAGGUACCCCUUCUGCUAUUAAUCUGCUCAACCCGGUUUUUCUCAAGACUAAGUAUAACCAAACACACUACGACGAUCUUGCCUCCAAAUGUCUUUCAAGGGUACAAAUUUAACAUCCUUUACCCGGAUUUCGUAGACAAGAUCAAAGCUCCCAUUUAAAAAAUAGAAAAAAUUGGGACCAGCGCUGAAACUUAUAUAAACCGGUUCCAUACUGGUACGCCUUACGAAGACAUUGCAAGUAUUCAGAACCAUUAAUUCUGCCAUUUCAUCAUAACCCCUAUGUUAUCUUGGUGAUCAAUUUUUUCUCCCAUAGAUGUGGUUUCUAUGUUAUUUUCCCCUUUGUGCAACUGAGUUUCGUUUGUAGCUUCAUUUGGGUUAUUGGGUUAGGUUUUACAUACUCAAUCUGGGGUGGCCAAACAUUAAUUUAAGGAUGUAUAUGCUGAUAUUUGUUAGAAAUGUAUAAAUAUGAUGGUCAAAAACAUGUUCAUCAAUAAUGUAUAUAAAUAUAAUCUUUCAAA